rnacentral:lncRNA from 12 species
UUUGUUUAAGGAAACUGGCAAUUAGACUUUAUCUCCUCUAAGUGUUUGCAUUCACAAAAGGGAGGAGUGCCUGCGUUUUUCUGGCAAGUUUGAGAAAAGCAACUCUUGUUAUAUACCUCUGCCUGGACGAAGGACAUGCUCUGCUCAUAGCCUGCUUGUCUAAAGGUUUUUUGGGGUGAGUAGGCAUGGGUGACUCCACCUGCCCUGUCACUAGGUGGGAGAUCCACCUGUUUCUGGGUUGAAGACUAGCAACUGGUCUAAGCCACUUCUCCAGUCCUGCUUUAUCAGUCUGAUAUUUUGAUUCCCGUCUCCUUCACCUCUUUAUUUUCUCCAUAGGUUAAUACUUGUGAUGCUAAGAGUUGGUGUUAUUUGAUACCCUAACAAAAAUAGCAGCCUUCUUAAUUUUUCCCUUUCCCCAUUGUAACUCAUGGCUUUGUUCCCUGAGCUGACUAGGUCUGAACACUUUUACUGUUUUCCACAAAUUAUGGUAUAAAUCUUACUGAGUUCUUUUUUUCCUCUGAAACUCCUUUCCUAGUC